rnacentral:rRNA from 1 species
UACGGAGGGGGCGAGCGUUAUUCGGAAUUAUUGGGCGUAAAGGGCGCGUAGGCGGCCAACUAAGUCAGACGUGAAAUCCCUCGGCUUAACCGGGGAACUGCGUCUGAUACUGGAUGGCUUGAAUCCGGGAGAGGGAUGCGGAAUUCCAGGUGUAGCGGUGAAAUGCGUAGAUAUCUGGAGGAACACCGGUGGCGAAGGCGGCAUCCUGGACCGGCAUUGACGCUGAGGAGCGAAAGCCAGGGGAGCAAACGGG